rnacentral:lncRNA from 1 species
AACAAAAUACAAAGAAAAUAGGGCUAGAGCUUCAAGAUGUGUUCUUCAAACUAAACCCAGAAUUUGAAAAUAAACCAAGAUGGAUUUGGAAUCUUCUUCGGUAGUGUUAAUAAAUUAGGGUUUAUAGAGUUCGAAUCUUUUGAGUGUGUAGUGAAACUAGGGUUCUUGAGUGUAGUGAAAUUAGGGUUCUUGAAGAGAGGGAGAGAUUGAGAGAUUGAGAGGAGGGAGGGAGAGAUUUGAGAGGCGGGAGAGUGAGGUCGGGCUCGAGGGAGUAAGGGUCGAAA